rnacentral:lncRNA from 1 species
CCCGGUGCAGCCGGACCCGGGCCUCCCAGGCGCACGGAGGUGUCAGCUCCCGGACGCGAUGGAUCCCUGCGGGGAGAGAGAAGCCCAUUACAGAGUGAAAUUCAAGCAAGACUACCAUUUGGAAAAUAAACAGAAGCUCACUCAUGUCAUUGGAAAUAUCAUCAAACAUGAUCCAAUUGCCACUCUUCAGGGAGCUCAGUUCUUUUCCAUCCUUGCUGGAAAACACAGUGGUCUGAAGACGUAAGUACUAAUGACCAUACAAUGAUGUAUAUGGUCUAUGUGGGUAAAGUGCUCUGCCAAAUAUAAUUUUUCAUACAGCCUCUGAGCUUGGAGUGGAUGUAAAUAACAAACAUACUGGUUCAGUGAGUGACAGCACUGGCUCUAAUCUUCCAGUGAAGAGAAGUUUCUGACCCACUCAAGCAAGGAGUGUUCUUUCUAAUUUCAGUAUCUGUGUGUUAGUCAACUUUCAAAAUUCUUGAAAGAGUACCGAGUAAGCAGUUUCCAGGAGGAAAGGUUUAUUUUGGCUCACAGUUUCAGAGUUUUCGGUCCAUGGUUGCCUGGUUCUGUUGCUUCUGGGUCUGUGGUAGGGCAGAGCAUCAUGGUGAGGAGCAUGUAAUAGAGCAAAGCUGCUCACCUCAUGGAGGACAGGGGGGCCAAGAGAAUGAGAAGGAGAGGCAGGGGACAAAGCACACCCUUCCAGGGGACAUUCCCAG